CAGUUCCCGUCAUAGGUUGCCUAGGCACAUUAAUUCUCCCCGACGCCAGGGCAAUUAUGUCUCAACUGAUGCCUGCACACAACCAGAGUGCCUUAUCAUUUAGAACUGUAGUUGCCCUGUAGUUGCCACAAUUGUGCCCUAUUCGCGGGAAUAGCCGUGGUGGAUAUUGCAUCAAACCUUGGAAGCAAUGUUGGAGCGUCGGCCAUUUACAUGGCAACCGUUGGCACCAUGCGUGGAUUCACUUUCCUGAUAUUAUCAUAAAUACAAUAUCAGAUCUAGUGUAUUGUCAGACGCUACGCUGACGACCUAACACUGAAUAAGUUCAAUAUUUUAGUUGUCAUUUUUAUCAAAUAACUGGUUAAAACAAGUGCUUAUACUGCCAGGCUUCAAACGUUUUAAUCGUGGUGUUGUGACGACAUCACUUGGCAACAUCUUCUUUAAAGGCAUAUUUUUCCAUCCUGUUUCGAUACUAUAAUUCUAUCUUUUUAAAACAUUUUGCUGUUAUUUUCGCCCCAGUCGUACUUCUUGUAUCUUCAUGUAUGUUUGAAGAAGAAAAGCACAAGCCUGCGAUGGACAUCGGAUGGUUUCUUGGUAUAACCUUCAAAAACAAUAUUUAUAAUUAUACUUCCGAAUUUAUCGUAUCAAAGUAGGAGGAUCGAAGACAGUACAUAUAGCAGAUGUGACUAGAAACAUCCCAGACACACAGGUAGUGGCUGUGGAUGUAGUGGCAGAGGAGUGACGGGCCAAGGACGGGAUGGAAUGAUUCUACGUAGUAAUGUCAUACAAUAACACAGAUAUGUGUGUGUGUGUGUGUGUUUGAGAGUGAGGGUGUCGGCGAGGGUGAUGGCAAAGGAGUGAAGUGACGGACCAAGGACGGGAUGCAAAUGAUUCUACGUAGUAAUGUCAUACAAUAACACAGAUAUGUGUGUGUGUGUGUGUGUUUGAGAGUGAGGGUGUCGGCGAGGG